ACUGGUCCUCUCUCUCUCAGACCAGAUCUGCAGGGAAAAAAAAUUCAUUGAAACUCUUCCGCCAUUGAAACCAGAGCAGGGAAAUGAUUUUAUUUCUUUAUUUAAAUCGAUAAUGAUGUUAUUGAUUCGUGUAUUUUGGUAGAUUGAUAGUUAGUUUUUCGUUUUUAAGCUUGUUGAUAGUAUUUUUAUGCUAUUUCUGCAGUUGGAAGCACUAAUCUGAAAUUUUAGGUCAUAUUUCACUAGGAGUAAAUGAUUUAAUCUGAGAUUUCACAAGGAGUUUCUACAGAUGCUAUUGCUAAUCAGCAGGGUUUACAACGGAAUGACUCAGCUGGGUUUUGAAAAGAUUCACCGAGAUUUCAGGUUUAAUCUGUCUCAGUGCUCCUUUGAUCAGCUCGAUUUAACACUUUUAAUCUUAUACGCUCUUCUAUGGAACAACAAAUCAAGAACUCUUUUCAUGUUGAUAUCGGAUAAGAAUAGUGAGUUUGGUAUCAUACAUACAACCUCGUUUGAGAAAAUAUCAGUGAUACCUUGUAGGUUGAUAGAAGUGAAACAUUCCCUUAUACAGAAAUUAGAGAGAUCGGAAAAUUUAAUUCUCUUUCCAAAUGAUUGUGUAACUCACCGAGUUUUGUUAGACACCUAGUCAAGUAUUGCCAGUCUGCGUCUUUAGCUUCAGAAUUUGAGCCAAGGGACCAUUAAAAUGGAAGUACGUCAUUAGCUUUAUCAUGUGAAAAAUCAUUUGUACUUGUGAAGUGCCAAAAUCUGCAGUUUUGGGGCUGAGCAGACACACGUAUCUCUCUACGUGACUGUUAUUUCCGUUGUUUCAAAUUGGUGGGGAAACACAUUGUAAAGGUUAACCCAGACGAAGGCCUUGAGGUUAAAUUAUCAGGUUCAGAUGCAGAUGGAGCCCACCCACAAUACUGUCACCUUCCAUGUUGGUUUUGGACUGGAGAUGUAUAUGAGCUUUUAAAAAUAUGUUCAUGUUUGCAUGUGUGUGUGUUUCCUUAAUAAUAUCACUGGAAUCUCUAAGUUAUGAAUUUUGCAUGCGAGAAAUCCCAUGAUACUCCAUAUGAAGUUAACAUCGGUUAUGAGCCCGUUGACUUCAUUUUUUACAAAAAUGUGUGGUAAGUUCUUUUAUAUGUUUGUGCAUGCCUUUACUUUCUGUAGUAUUCAAAUCUCUAAAUGAAGAUUUAUUAAAAAUAAUAAAAAAAAUUCAUUUGAUUUUGACAACUCUCAAGUAAGGAUAAGUUAGUUCAAAAGAAACUCAAAUGUACAUGCUAAAUGUCACGACGGGCUUAGCAAUUGUGUUUCAGUCAUGGACUCAUGCUCAAUACGCUCAGCUUCACGAGCAUCAUUUUUACGUGUAUUGCUUCCUAUGGAAAGUCGAAUCUAUGAUUUGAUUUUGUAGAAUGCAGUCUAACGCUAUUUGCACUGCACAUGGUCUAUCAACUAACUUGAGAAGAUCAUACGGUCUUUACUUGCUCUCUCUCUAUGUGUUUCAUGGGAGAAUAUGACUCAGAACCACCUGGAAGGCUUCUGUAUAAUGUACAGUAUGUAUGUGUGGUACAUCUGUUGCAAUAACAAAAUAACAUGAUAAAUUCUGUAUAAAGGAUAGUCAGUAUAUGCUCAUUGGGAAUUUGUCCACAUCUUGGAGUAACAUUUGUAUUUCUUAUUUUGAAUUGUGCAGAUUCAUAGUAACAUCAACAGUAUUCUAUUGUGGAGUGUUCAUCUAUAGAACACGUGUUGAACACCUGCGUGGGUUGGAAGCUUUACCAGGCACGACAAUUCUAUCAGCCUAUUUAGAAGCGGUUAGUUGAGGAGGAGGGUUAACAAGAGGUUACACAAGAGCAGAAGACCCUACCAACACGUCUGCCAAUCAAGUUCAUUGGAAACGCCAGCCUGUUUCUGGUCAAGGAACUCGAAGAACCACUGAAGUGAAAUAUGGUUUGAUCUGAUUAACAAGUUUGACAUGUAUCUGAUGUAUGAGCAUCAUUAGAGAUUUCAGUAUGACUUGAAUUGUAUUUAAAUAUGUCAGGUUGGAGUUGGUGGUGGGAGGUUGGGACUUAAGAUCUGUAAGAGUGGGCAUGUACAGACGAUCUUUUUUGGAGAAGAAGGGACUCUCACGCGAGGAGAUAGAUGAAGCUUUCCGUAGAGUGCUUGAUCCCACCCCCACCAACUACAACUAUGCCGGCAGCUAUCCCAAAUCAAGAUGGUCAAUCAACUUCACCUAUCAAUUUGCAGCCUCAGAUACAAGCACGAGCUCCACAGCCUGCAGUUCCUCCCCCUAGUGGCUUGGUUUUCAAAAUGCGAGCCUGAUUGCACUGGUUUCGUGCUAUUCUUGCCAUAGGCUUUCUUGCUGUUUCAGGAGCUGGUACUGCACUUGUUUUUAAGAAUGUUGGUGUCCCUAGAUUGAAGUCGUGGAUCCAUAAGGUGGUAUUGGAAGAAGACGGUGAUAACUCACUAGAGAAAAGUACCUUAAAGACAAACCCAACUGAAGAGGCAGCAACAGCCGCAAAAGCUGCUGCAGCUGCAGCUUUGGAUGUAGCUAAGGCGAGUCAGGACAACUUCGGAAGUAGCUAAGGCUAGUUAGGAAAUGUUGAACUCAAAACUUGAAGGUUGGUUUAUCUAAUGAAUUACUUGAGGCUUCAGUAUUGCCUAUAUGUAUAUUUUCUUGACCUUUGCAUGUAUAUCUCAGAAAGAAAGUACCAAUAGUUCAGCAAUUGGUGGCAAUGACAUCCUAUACGCAGAAAAUUGUAUCUUAUACGUUCACUAUGCUUCUGAAACUAAGUUAGAGUCUUUGUGAAAUCUAGAGAAAACUAAGUUAAAGGCUUUCUGAAACUAAAUGAUAAGUUGUUUCCUUCUCUUUCUUUCGUGUAUCAUUGAACAUAUCAUUAUCAAUACAAGUGGUGCAGAAUGUGAUUGGUUUGAUA